rnacentral:tRNA from 1 species
ACAGUGGUGGUUCAGUGGUAGAAUCCUCGCCUUCCAUGUGGGAGAGCGAGGUUCAAGUCCCAGCCAGUGCA